rnacentral:rRNA from 1 species
AACGUGUCGCGAUGGAUGACUUGGCUUCCUAUUUCGU